GUCUGUUUAGAAUUUUUGAAGUACUGAAUAUAGCAUUCAUAUUUUAUUACCUCUUAAUAACUUUAGCAUAAUUUAUAAAAACUGGAAUAUUUUCUGGGGACUCUGAUUUUGAUGGAGAUAGGUGACUCAUUAAACCAAAGGCUGUGUAAAGAAUUCAUAUGAUUGGUCUAAGAUUGUCUUUUUUAUGUAACUAACCACUUUCUGUGAUUAAAGAACAUGUCUAGUGGCAAAGUUAAAAUUGUUAGAUAUAUUUUAUCAUGUUUGGCUUGUUGUGGUUGUCCUUAGACUAUUUAGACUUCUAAGGUGGAAAUUUGUAACUAAUACUCGAUAAGAAAAUACUCAUUUAGAUUAUUAUAGCUUAAUACAUCAAAUUGGUCAUGAGCUUUGGCAUCUUGUAAAAAAUGAUAUAUUACAUCAUGAUAAAACAGUUUUGAGAAUUGUAAAUACCUAUGAAGAAAAUGUCUUUAUUUUGUAUGAUAUCUUUCAUUUGCAAUUAUGUAGUAUGUUCUUCAGUUGUUAAAAGUUAUAUAGUUCAGAUAGCCUGUUCCAACAAGGCCUCCAGCCUUUAGUUUUUAGUAGGGAAGAAUACAAUUGUCAUAUUUUUAGAUUUAGAAGUACAAAAAGAUAAAAUAAAGAAAUACCUUUUAUUUUGCUGUUUUUUUUUUUCCAUUUCAAUCUUAGGUAUAUUUUUUUCCCCAUUAACUUUUAAAAGUAAGUAGCUCAUAAUUUAAGACCGCAGUUAUUAGGUGUGUUUCUGCAUUUUAUACAUCGCUCCCAGGUGCUACAGUAGUAGUUUUUAUCACUGCAUAUUUUAUGAAAUGUCAGCCUUCUGUCGGCUGUUCACACAGCAUUGUUAGUGAUCAAAGACACAACAUAAAGGAGAAGAAUCUAAACAGUUGGAUAAGCUUUGUCCUUUGUAAUAAGGAAAAUACUACAAAAUUAUUUUUUAUAGAAAUUCAACUUUUGACAUGUAAUAUGCAAAGAAAUGUCUUUGUUUUUAAUGAAGUAAAAUGAUAAAAGGUUUAAUUUGAUGAAAUACAAGUAUAAAGAAAAAUAAUUUCUAAUUUUAACUAGUUUUCUUUGUUAAGAAAAAUAAAAGGAGUAUGUCACAUGUAGACUUGCUGAAUGACAGUGCUGUAUUUUAAUAUCUAGCUACACAGUAAAAUAAUUAGCUCAAACCUCAUUUGGUUACAUAAGAAACAUUUUGUAAAAGUCGUUAUUAGUCUUUGUAUGUAUAUUAAGUUGCAUAUGAUCUAAUUUAUUAUGAUAUUCCUGUUUACCUCUUCCUAUAGUUGAAAAUGCUGUUUCAUUGAUUCAAAGAACUGAUUUUAUUUCAGUGAUUGCAUUAUCAAGGUAUACAGAAUAAGAGAAAAACUUAAAAACUAAGAGAAAAUCUGUAAGAAUAAAAAUCUUGAGUGAUUUUGAUCAGCUGUUGUGUAUGCCCAACACAGCAGUUGGUUCCAUCAGUUUUAUGUUUGGUGAUGGUUUAUGAAAAUGCACUGCUGCUUUCAGUAAAUCAUUGAUAAGGAUUCUGGCUUCAUCAGUGCUACAACUGGGUGGGACAGUUUUACUUGCUGACUUAUAGCUGGUAAGAUGAGAGAAUUUCGUAGUUCCAUGAAAGUAAGUGUAUUGUUUUUGUUUGUUUGUUUUUUCAGUGUGGGAAUUAAAAACAGAGUGAAAGUAUAGAGUACAAGCUGGUUGUCUUUAAAUGUGCUUUUGUGCCUGUCUGAAAAAAUAAUGUUUUUCAGAUAACAAUGAUAUAUGUAUUAUCUGUACUUGUGUUGUUUUUUAUUAACUAAUGAAAAAUACUUGCUUUCUGUGGGUAGAAUUAGGACUUUGAAAAGCAGUUUGAAAUAUAAACCACAAAUAUCGGUUACAAGCAUCAACUUUUUGUUCUUUUUCAUGCUAUAUUUUUACUUUAAUUUAUAACGUAUAGGUCAACAGUCUUACCACUACCUUAGAGUUUUUUUUGUAAAUGCAGAAUCUUGGGUCUAAUACCAUAUUAAAGCAUUCUGUGUUUUUAUUAAAAUUUCUGGACAAUUCAUAUGGACAUUAAAAUUUGAGAUACACUGUAUAAAACAUCUUACCAAACCUCUCAUUCGUUUUGUAUGAGUGUAUGUGAAUGCAUAUUUUAAUUGUGUAUUAAUUCUGAUUUUGCUCAGUUCCAAUUUUAGAGGAGACAAUAAAUAUGCUUAUUAGAAUUUUAGUGGAGCUCAGAAGUGGACAAGUAUUCAGUCUUGUGCUCUUGUGUUUAAGUCUUCAGGCAGUUACCAUUAGAAACAACUACUUUUUUGUAGCAUUACCCUGUUAGUGUUUCUUUUGGCCAGGGCGAUAUUUUUUCAGUGUUUUAGAUAUUCAUGAUUAUUUCCUUCCAGAAAUAGUGCAGUAAUCAUAUUCAAAGUGUAUUUGAAGACAUAUUAGUCCCAAAAGGUGCUCUGGAAAGUGUUGCAUGGUUAAAAUAUACUUCAAAGUCUUGAAUGUACUGUUUGAUGAUAGAGGUAUAUGUUGACAUAUUAAGAUAUUUGGAAACAUGGUAUAUUAUUUUUCUGUUGCUGAGAUAAAAUACCACUACCCCCCCCCAUCUCCAAAAUG
rnacentral:lncRNA from 1 species